GCUAGGAGGAUAUGCAUGCCCGGGAAUCCCUCACUUCACCAUCAGGACCUCCUUCGACAAAUAAUAGCAUUUGGACAAGGUCAGAUCAAUCCUCCCUAAGCUAGUUGUAUGCUCAGGAAUGAGGUGUCUGAGCUUGGAAUUUGAUGGCUCGUGUUAAUGUAGUGGCUGCUAGGUGGAAUUUUUUGGUGCAAGAACUUGGCACUACCUAUAGGAACUUUGUAGUCGGCUGGGACUUGUGUAGUUGGAUGGUGGAUGGAUCAUUUUGUAAUCAUGUUUUGUGCUUUUGUAUGGAACAUGUUGCAAACUGAAUGCUGGAACUUGCUUUUGUAUGAGCUGGGAAAUUAAUUAUGGCUGGAAUGUGAUUAUAAUAUAAUUAUUCAAAUGGUUGUGGUUUA